CACGAAGUCUUCAUCUUUGAAACUCCUGUGCCUAACACAUAAUAGGCCUCUACCAAACACGUCCAGAGGCAAUGAGAUGCUGCUGGACCCCACAGGCUCAAGUCCUCGCUCUAACAGAAGACUGUUACAGGAAGAGGAAGCUCAUGGAACUGCAUGAAUUUCGAAUAUGGAUAAUACCCCGCAAGGACACGGAAGGACCCACUGCCGGCCAGCACUGGC
rnacentral:lncRNA from 1 species